AUUGAACGCUGGCGGCAGGCCUAACACAUGCAAGUCGAGCGGUAGAGAGAAGCUUGCUUCUCUUGAGAGCGGCGGACGGGUGAGUAAUGCCUAGGAAUCUGCCUAGUGGUGGGGGAUGACGUUCGGAAACGGACGCUAAUACCGCAUACGUCCUACGGGAGAAAGCGGGGGAUCUUCGGACCUCGCGCCAUUAGAUGAGCCUAGGUCGGAUUAGCUAGUUGGUGAGGUAAUGGCUCACCAAGGCGACGAUCCGUAACUGGUCUGAGAGGAUGAUCAGUCACACUGGAACUGAGACACGGUCCAGACUCCUACGGGAGGCAGCAGUGGGGAAUAUUGGACAAUGGGCGAAAGCCUGAUCCAGCCAUGCCGCGUGUGUGAAGAAGGUCUUCGGAUUGUAAAGCACUUUAAGUUGGGAGGAAGUGCAGUAACCUAAUACGUUAUUGUUUUGACGUUACCGACAGAAUAAGCACCGGCUAACUUCGUGCCAGCAGCCGCGGUAAUAC
rnacentral:rRNA from 1 species